rnacentral:rRNA from 1 species
CCCUUAGAGUUUGAUCCUGGCUCAGAACGAACGCUGGCGGCGUGGAUAAGACAUGCAAGUCGAGCGCGACUUGCCCUGUAGCAAUACAGGGUAAGUUGAGCGGCGCAAGGGUGCGUAACACGUGGGUAAUUUGCCGUGAAGUUGGGGAUAACUCGCUGAAAGGCGAGCUAAUACCGAAUGUGGAACGGGAGUGGCAUCACUUCUUUUCUAAAGCUGGGGAUCGCAAGACCUGGCGCCUCAUGAUAAGCCCGCGGCCUAUCAGCUAGUUGGUGUGGUAACGGCACACCAAGGCUAAGACGGGUAGCUGGUCUGAGAGGACGACCAGCCACACUGGAACUGAGACACGGUCCAGACACCUACGGGUGGCAGCAGUCGAGAAUUUUUCUCAAUGGGCGCAAGCCUGAAGGAGCGACGCCGCGUGGGGGAUGAAGGGUUUCGAUCCGUAAACCCCUGUCAUUUGUGAACAAUGGUUAUCCGUGAAUAGCGGAUGACUUGAUAGUAAUGAAAGAGGAAGGGACGGCUAACUCUGUGCCAGCAGCCGCGGUAAUACAGAGGUCCCGAGCGUUGUUCGGAUUCACUGGGCGUAAAGGGUGCGUAGGUGGCUUGGUAAGUUUGAUGUGAAAGCUCAGGGCUCAACCCUGAAAUGGCAUUGAAUACUAUCGAGCUGGAGGUUUGGAGGGGGGACUGGAAUUCUUGGUGUAGCAGUGAAAUGCGUAGAUAUCAAGAGGACA